AGCGAACGCUGGCGGCAGGCCUAACACAUGCAAGUCGAACGAACUCUUCGGAGUUAGUGGCGGACGGGUGAGUAACACGUGGGAACGUGCCUUUAGGUUCGGAAUAACUCAGGGAAACUUGUGCUAAUACCGAAUGUGCCCUUCGGGGGAAAGAUUUAUCGCCUUUAGAGCGGCCCGCGUCUGAUUAGCUAGUUGGUGAGGUAAAGGCUCACCAAGGCGACGAUCAGUAGCUGGUCUGAGAGGAUGUUCAGCCACAUUGGGACUGAGACACGGAUCAACCUUCGACGGGAUGCAGCAGUGGGGAAUCUUGCGCAAUGGGCGAAAGCCUGACGCAGCCAUGCGGCGUGAAUGAUGAAGGUAUUAGGAUUGUAAAAUUCUUUCACCGGGGACGAUAAUGACGGUACCCGGAGAAGAAGCACCGGCUAACUACGUGCCAGCCGCCGCCGUAA
rnacentral:rRNA from 1 species